GUUGCAGUAUACGAUCAUGCAUUGCAUAAGCCCAAUAUACUUAUGCAAUGCAUGAUUGUAUACUGCAACUAAAUUCUUAU